GACGUAGGGCGCGAGCGUUGUCCGGAUUUAUUGGGCGUAAAGAGCUCGUAGGCGGCUUGUCGCGUCGACUGUGAAAACUCGGGGCUCAACUCCGAGCUUGCAGUCGAUACGGGCAGGCUAGAGUUCGGUAGGGGAGACUGGAAUUCCUGGUGUAGCGGUGAAAUGCGCAGAUAUCAGGAGGAACACCAACGGCGAAGGCAGCUCGCUGGGACGGUACUGACACUGAGGCGCGAAAGCUAGGGGAGCGAACAGG
rnacentral:rRNA from 1 species